CCCUCUGCAGGCCCGGCCCGCACAACAGAGGCUGUAUGCGAGAGGAAUGGAAAUGAGCCUCAGGCCCUGCCCGAGGAGCCCCAUCCCCUUCCCCGCGCGGGGCUGAGGAAUGCUGGCCAGCCGGAAAGGAACCCUCGCUGGGAACGCCGCUCUCGCGCCUCUGAAACCCCAUUGAGAAGAACCCUUUGAUGCAAUUAAAGCGCAUUUCAUUGCAGGCCUGGGAGGAGGGAACGACCGGCAAGCUUUUUUCUGUCUCGGACGUGUGUAUGCACCUUUGUGGGCCGGGUUACUUAGAGACCAGGCGGGAACUUGAGCUCCCUCUCUCGCAGACGUUCUGUAACAUCAGAAAAGCGUACCCAUAAACAGAUUGGUUUUCACCAGGGGUGGAACCCAGUUUGGACACGAUCCAGGCUGACCUGCAGGCCGGGGUUCCUACUUUGAAAGGCUCUUUGGUGCGCCUUACACCCACCUUCCCUGCUGUAAAGGUUUAGGCGGAAAAGAAAUUGCGUUUGCAGGAGGAAGUUGUUUCUGAGGUUACUGCUCAGCAUUUUCCAUUUUCUCAGCGGUGGGGUGGGCCGUGUCGCAUAUCCAGAAGUGAUGUCACAGCCAGACCUGCACAAUGAUGUAACCUGCAAGUGUUGAAGGACGACGAUGGGACAGCUAUUUUGAUACUCGUAUUAUUUUAUAACAUUUCCCUGCUUUUUCCAUUGAGACAACUGUGUGACCUCAGAAAAUCCACAUAGCCUCUCUGAACUUAGUAUUUUUUGUGUGUUAAAAUGAAUAUCACAAAGCCGGAGAACGAAUGUGAUGAAGUUUUGGGUGCUUGUGGAAUUCUUUCUAAGUUGGAGGUGGAAACUUCAUCUACCUGCACAGGUGGAAGAUAUGUGGGUCUGGAACUCCUGUAUGCCUCCUUGAGAACAUGAACCUUUAAACAACAACAACAACAACAACAACAACAACAACAACAACAACAACAACAACAACAACAACACGAAGACAAAGUCCUGUCUGCUCUCCCAGGCUAGAAUGCAGCGUGCAAUCGUGCAAUCGCAGCCUACAGUAAGUUCCUUAUAAAUCUAAAUAAGAAAUAGGGAGAGCAUGGUAGGUAUUUGGGGUCCUCGGCGAGGCAUAAGUUCAGGAGAAGUUUGAAGGAAAGGGUAGGAAAACAUUUUUGAGAGCACAAACAUGCUACAAGUGUUUCCUGAAAUGCCCCAAAGGAGAGUGCAGCACUCAGGUGGAGGAGUCAUUUUUUCCAAAGCCAGAAACGUGAAGAGAAGACCUCGCCUUGAUUUGCCAGAUGACCCCUGGCCUUUUUAGUCAAGUUCCUGGAGAAGGUAGGGUGGAGACUUAUUUGUCCUGUGUUUGGGGCAAUAAAAGGGGAGGGGCCGUCUCCUCCAGCCUGUUCUAAAAAGCCAAAAAGCAAGGCUAUUUACUCAGACCUGGGCUACUAAGUGCUG
rnacentral:lncRNA from 1 species